rnacentral:rRNA from 1 species
AUUGAACGCUGGCGGCAGGCCUAACACAUGCAAGUCGAGCGGAUGACGGGAGCUUGCUCCUUGAUUCAGCGGCGGACGGGUGAGUAAUGCCUAGGAAUCUGCCUGGUAGUGGGGGACAACGUUUCGAAAGGAACGCUAAUACCGCAUACGUCCUACGGGAGAAAGCAGGGGACCUUCGGGCCUUGCGCUAUCAGAUGGGCCUAGGUCGGAUUAGCUAGUAGGUGAGGUAAUGGCUCACCUAGGCGACGAUCCGUAACUGGUCUGAGAGGAUGAACAGUCACACUGGAACGGAGACACGGUCCAGACUCCUACGGGAGGAAGCAGUGGGGAAUAUGGGACAAUGGGCGAAAGCCUGAUCCAGCCAUGCCGCGUGUGUGAAGAAGGUCUUCGGAUUGUAAAGCACUUUAAGUUGGGAGGAAGGGCAGUAAGUUAAUACCUUGCUGUUUUGACGUUACCGACAGAAUAAGCACCGGCUAACUCUGUGCCAGCCGCCGCCGUAAGAC